UACGUAGGGGGCGAGCGUUGUCCGGAUUCAUUGGGCGUAAAGAGCUCGUAGGCGGCUUGGCAAGUCGGGUGUGAAAACUCCAGGCUCAACCUGGAGACGCCACCCGAUACUGCCAUGGCUUGAGUCCGGUAGGGGACCACGGAAUUCCUGGUGUAGCGGUGAAAUGCGCAGAUAUCAGGAGGAACACCGGUGGCGAAGGCGGUGGUCUGGGCCGACACUGACGCUGUAGAGCGAAAGCGUGGGGAGCGAACAGG
rnacentral:rRNA from 1 species